AUGGUGUACGAAAGGGGUCCAGCCUCAAUCUUCAGCACAUGGCUAACCAGCUAUCCCAGCACCAUUUAUUGAAUAGGGAAUCUUUUCCCCAUUGCUUGUCAGAAAAGCUAUGUUUCUAAGCCUUCACCCAACAUACCUUUAACUUUUGACCACAUCUCUCCCCCAGUCAAUAGGCUCCAGGAAAUGGGACAGGAUUCUUGGAAAUAAAGAGCUGACCCUGAGACAACGCAGGUGCUGCCACAUCAUUUGCAUCAGGAUUUAGAAUCUCUGCUGGCAGGCCUGGGAAGAUGCAUUGUAACCAAUAAGAGAAUGCAGCCUCAGAAAUUAUUCCUGGAGAUUUUGCCAUGCUAAGACUGAUUCUGACUUCACUGAAGGCAGAGCAGAAAAUUGGGAAGAGACUGAGUCCUGGGUAGCAUCCAUGAACUUCUGUGCUCAGAUUCACCCUGAAGCCUGGCCUGCUUCUGAACUACCCAUCUGAGUCAAUAAAUUGCCUUCUUAUUAAAGUCAAAUUGAGCUGGAUUUUUAGUUACCUGCAUCUGCAGUUGUUCUGUGAAGCUAAUACUAUGAGUUUGUAUCUGAGAAUAUUUACAGUGCUUCUCUCAUGGUUGAGUCAAUCAUUUCAAGGGUGCUUUAAGGGUAAAAAGAAUGAUCAAUUGUGAAGCAGUGAAUUAUGCUGCCAGGCACAAUUCAUUGGGCAAUAUAAAACUUCAUUUCCUGGGCAGUAGAAAGUUUCAUUGUACAUAAAUUACAUAUCUUGUUUCUGCCUCAACCUCCUAUUUAUUCAUAGGCAAAGGAGAUAAGGAAGUCCACAUAAGUCCAGCAGCUAAUAUGCCUCUCGGGCAUCAUCCAAAACAGAUUUGAAUUAUGCAAGCCUUGUUAAAAUUCAUCAUCAUCAUUCAUAUUUCUGAAUAUUUAAAUUAGAAAUUCUGAAAAAGUAGUUUGAUUCAGAGGUAGUUUGUAUAUAUGUAGGCAUUUUUUCAGGAUCAAAAGCUUAUUUUUUAUUGUCUAAUUGAGUUUAAUUUACAUAUAAUAAAAUUUAGUAAUUUUAAGUGAAGAAAUCAAUGCAUUUUGACUAAUAUAUAUAGUCAUGUACACAACACUACCAUUUCACUUCUCUUGGUUGAAAACAUACGAGGAAUUAUUAUUUUUUAACUUAUGGAUUUUUAAAUGAUUGUCAGUUACUUUAAAAAAUGUAAAUUCUUAAUUUUAAAGGUUUAGGAUGUCUGACAAAUCUGACAAAAACAAGCGAUGGGGAAAGGAUUCCCUAUUUAAUAAAUGGUGUUGGGAAAACUGGCUAGCCAUAUGCAGAAAACUGAAACUGGACUCCUUUCUUACACCUUAUACAAAAAUUAACUCAAGAUGGAUUAAAGACUUAAAUGUAAGACCUAAAACCACAAAAACCCUUGAAGAAAACCCAGGCAAUACCAUUCAGGACACGGGCAUGGGCAAAGACUUUAUGACUAAAACACCAAAAGCAACGAAGCCAAAAUAGACAAAUGGGAUCUAAUUAAACUAAAGAGCUUCUGCACAGCAAAAGAAACUCUCAUCAGAGUGAACAGACAACCUAAAGAAUGGGAGAAAAUUUUUGCAAUCUAUCCAUCUGACAAGGGUCCAACAUCCAGAAUCUACAAGGAACUUAAACAAAUUUACAAAAAAAAACAAAAAACAAAAAAGACCCCAUCAAGAAGUGGGCAAAGGAUAUGAACAGACACUUCGCAAAAGAAGACAUUUACGUGGCCAAUAAACAUAUGAACAAAAGCUCACCAUCACUGGUCAUUAGAGAAAUGCAAAUCAAAACCACAAUGAGAAACCAACUCAUGCCAGUUAGAAUGGUGAUCAUUAAAAAGUAGGAAACAACUGAUGCUGGAGAGGAUGUGGAGAAAUAGGAACACUUUAACACUGUUGGUUAGAGUGUAAAUUAGUUCAACCAUUGUGGAAGACCAUGUGGCAAUUCCUCAAGGAUCUAGAACCAGAAAUACCAUUUGACCCAUCAAUCCCAUUACUGGGUAUAUACCCAAAGGAUUAUAAAUCAUUCUACUAUAAAGACACCUGCACAUGUAUGUUCAUUGCAGCACUA
rnacentral:lncRNA from 1 species